rnacentral:rRNA from 1 species
GACAGAGGGUGCAAACGUUGUUCGGAAUUACUGGGCGUAAAGCGUGUGUAGGCGGUCUCAUAAGUCGGAUGUGAAAGCCCCGGGCUCAACCCGGGAAGUGCAUUCGAAACUGCGAGGCUAGAGUAUCGGAGAGGUUGGUGGAAUUCUCGGUGUAGAGGUGAAAUUCGUAGAUAUUAGGAAGAACACCAGUGGCGAAGGCGGCUCACUGGCCCGGUACUGACGCUCAUGUGCGAAAGCGUGGGGAGCAAACAGG